GUAGUCCUUAUCUUGGGGAUUCGCAGGGUCAAUGAUCGAAAUGUGAGCCCCUGUCGUGCUACGCCCAUUAUAUUUAAACCGCAUCCCGGCUACUUUCCGGGCUGCAAUUUUUGUAACC